CUCGCGGCCUAUCAGGUUGUUGGUGAGGUAAUGGCUCACCAAGCCGACGACGGGUAGCCGGCCUGAGAGGGUGACCGGCCACACUGGGACUGAGACACGGCCCAGACUCCUACGGGAGGCAGCAGUGGGGAAUAUUGCACAAUGGGCGCAAGCCUGAUGCAGCAACGCCGCGUGAGGGACGACGGCCUUCGGGUUGUAAACCUCUUUUAGUUGGGAAGAAGGGGCUUGCCUUGACGGUACCAGCAGAAAAAGCACCGGCUAACUACGUGCCAGCAGCCGCGGUAAUACGUAGGGUGCAAGCGUUGUCCGGAAUUAUUGGGCGUAAAGAGCUCGUAGGCGGUUUGUCGCGUCUGCUGUGAAAUCUGGGGGCUCAACCCCCAGUCUGCAGUGGGUACGGGCAGACUAGAGUGCGGUAGGGGAGAUUGGAAUUCCUGGUGUAGCGGUGGAAUGCGCAGAUAUCAGGAGGAACACCGAUGGCGAAGGCAGAUCUCUGGGCCGUUACUGACGCUGAGGAGCGAAAGCAUGGGGAGCGAACAGGAUUAGAUACCCUGGUAGUCCAUGCCGUAAACGUUGGGAACUAGAUGUAGGGGCCAUUCCACGGUUUCUGUGUCGCAGCUAACGCA
rnacentral:rRNA from 1 species